UACGUAGGGUGCGAGCGUUGUCCGGAAUUAUUGGGCGUAAAGAGCUCGUAGGUGGUUUGUCGCGUCUGUCGUGAAAGCCCGGGGCUCAACUCCGGAUCUGCGGUGGGUACGGGCAGACUAGAGUGAUGUAGGGGAGACUGGAAUUCCUGGUGUAGCGGUGAGAUGCGCAGAUAUCAGGAGGAACACCGAUGGCGAAGGCAGGUCUCUGGGCAUUAACUGACGCUGAGGAGCGAAAGCAUGGGGAGCGAACAGG
rnacentral:rRNA from 1 species